rnacentral:misc_RNA from 1 species
GCAAACUUGGUCAUUUAGAGGAAGUAAAAGUCGUAACAAGGUUUCCGUAGGUGAACCUGCGGAAGGAUCAUUACUGAGUGAGGGCCCUCUGGGUCCAACCUCCCACCCGUGUUUAUUGUACCUUGUUGCUUCGGCAGGCCCGCCUCACGGCCGCCGGGGGGCUUCUCGCCCCCGGGCCCGCGCCUGCCGGAGACACCUUUGAACGCUGUCUGAAGUUUGCAGUCUGAGCGAUUAGCUAAAUUAGUUAAAACUUUCAACAACGGAUCUCUUGGUUCCGGCAUCGAUGAAGAACGCAGC